CCGGUGGUGUGAUGCUCUCACUCACCCUUGCUCAGCUGAGUCACUCUUACCAUAGCGAAUACCUGCUUUAUAUCUCUCACUGACAGUGAAGAUCAAUAGUGAAGCUUCGCUCGGUGGGUGACGGUUGGGGUCCAGUUCAGGUUCUCACGGGAGGCAGACUUUGUCUGUGUUGUCUUUGUUUAAUGUUUCUUUCCUUGUUGUGUCUUUUCACGUUGCUUUGUCUUUGUGUCUUCCAUGUGUUCCACCUCAUUUCUUCGCUUGGUCACGCUCUCGUUUAACCCUGGUCUUGUUCUCAUUCUAUUAAUUGUGGUCACCUGGAGCCGGUUUACUUCCUCACUUUAUAUUGUUCCGUUUCAUCCUCUUGUGUUGGCUGGUUUGUCUUGUGCUCUAGACAGUUACUGACUUGCUGCUCUGUAUUCCAGUCUUGCCCUGUUGUUUGCUGCAAUGGUGUCUCGUUGUUGUAGAUUUUGC